UUAUCUAUUUAGGAGACUAACCUGAACUGUGAACCGUGAACUGUACUAUGUGAACUGUGAACAAUAUUAUCUAUCUAAGAGACUAACCUGAACUGUGAACCGUUCUAUCUAUUUAGGAAUCUAACCUCGUGAUUAAGCCCUUAUUCUCGUGCAUCACUUCCUCUUUCGUCUUUCUCCCACAUCAGAUUAGGGUUCGAGUCUUCAUUCUCCCGUCUCACA
rnacentral:lncRNA from 1 species